rnacentral:rRNA from 1 species
CAAUAGCGUAUAUUAAGUUGUUGCGGUUAAAGCUCGUAGUUAAAAAGCUCGUACUGUGUGGUGCGGUAUCCAGGACUUUUACUUUGAGGAAAUUAGAGUGUUUCAAGCAGGCGUACGCCUUGAAUACAUUAGCAUGGAAUAAUGAGAUAGGACCUUGGUUCUAUUUUGUUGGUUUCUAGAGCUGAGGUAAUGAUUAAUAGGGAUAGUUGGGGGCAGUUCGUAUUUAAUUGUCAGAGGUGAAAUUCUUGGAUUUAUUAAAGACGGACUACUGCGAAAAGCAUUUGCCAAGGAUGUUUUCAUUGAUCAAGAACGAAAGUUAGGGGAUCGAAGAUGAUUA